rnacentral:rRNA from 1 species
UACGGAGGGUGCGAGCGUUGUCCGGAAUCACUGGGCGUAAAGGGCGCGUAGGUGGCUUUUCAAGCCGCGCGGUGAAAGCCCGGGGCUCAACCCCGGGUCGGCCGUGCGGACUGGGAGCUCGAGCACUGUAGGGCGGGUGGAAUUCCGGGUGUAGCGGUGGAAUGCGUAGAUAUCGCUUGGAACGCCAAAGGUGAAAACAGACAGCUGGGAGUGUGCUGACGCUGAGACACGAAAGCCAGGGGAGCGAACGGG